rnacentral:tRNA from 1 species
GCACCGGUGGCACAAUGGUACUGCGCCUCCCUGCAGAGGAGGUUUUCGGGAGUUCGAUUCUCCCCCGGUGCU